AUGGAUUCCGGAGAAUUCUUUAAGUGUCUGUUGUCGACACAGAAUCCAAAAGAGAUCUGCUUCAUUUUUCGGUGGAGAAGCUCUAGAACAGUGUUGACCAAUAGAACUUCUGCUCUGACGGACACAUGCUGUAUCUGUGUUGUUCAAUACACAGGCACUAGCCACACGUGCGUAUUAAACACUUGGAAUGUAGCUCCUGUGACCGAGGAACUGAAUUUUUAAUUUUAUUUAAUUUUAAAUCAUUUCAAUUUAAAUACCUACAUAUGACUAUUGGCUGCUGUAUGGACAGCACAACUUUAGAGAUUGCUGAACUAACAUUCAAGUGUAAGGCAACAUUAAGACUGAUACGGGGCGAAUUGUGUCUCUCCCUGUUUAUGUUUUGAAGUCCUAACCCCCAGGACCUCAGAAUGCGACUGUAUUUGAAUAUAGGACCUUUGAAAGUAAAAUGAGGUCAUCUGAAUGGGCCCUAAUCCAACGUGACUGGUGUCCCUACAAGAAGAGGACAUUAGGACAUAGGCACACAGAGGGGAAGACCAUAUGGAAACACGUGGAGAAGAUGGCCAUCCACGAGACACGGAGAGAGGCCUCAGAAGAAACCAACCCUGCUGACAUCGUGCUCUUGGACUUCUAGCCUCCAGAGUUGUGAGAAAAUAAAUUUCUGUUGUUUAAACCA
rnacentral:lncRNA from 1 species